GAUGAACGCUAGCGGGAGGCUUAAUACAUGCAAGUCGAGGGGUAACAUGAGUGCUUGCACUUGAUGACGACCGGCGCACGGGUGAGUAACGCGUACACGAUCUACCUUUAAGAGGGGGAUAGCCUUUGGAAACGAAGAUUAAUACCCCAUAGUAUUACGAUAAGUAAAGAGUUGUAAUUAAAGCUACGGCGCUUAAAGAUGAGUGUGCGUCCCAUUAGUUAGUUGGUAAGGUAACGGCUUACCAAGACGAUGAUGGGUAGGGGGCGUGAGAGCGUGACCCCCCACACGGGUACUGAGACACGGACCCGACUCCUACGGGAGGCAGCAGUAAGGAAUAUUGGACAAUGGGCGCAAGCCUGAUCCAGCCAUCCCGCGUGGAGGAUGACUGCCCUAUGGGUUGUAAACUCCUUUUAGAUAGGAAGAAACGCCAAGGUUUACUUUGGUCUGACGGUACUAUCAGAAUAAGCACCGGCUAACUCCG
rnacentral:rRNA from 1 species